AUGGUUGUCGUCAGCUCGUGCCGUGAGGUGUCGGGUUAAGUCCCAUAGCGAGCGCAACCCUAUCAUUAGUUGCCAUCAGGUCAAGUUGGGGACUCUAAUGAAACUGCCUACGCAAGUAGUGAGGAAGGUGGGGAUGACGUCAAAUCAGCACGGCCCUUACGUCCAGGGCUACACACGUGCUACAAUGGCCGGUACAAAGGGCAGCUACCUGGUGACAGGAUGCUAAUCUCAAAAGCCGGUCUACAGUUCGGAUCGGAGUCUGGCAACCCGACUCCGUGAACGCUGGAAUCGCUAGUAAUCGCGCAUCAGCCAUGGCGCGGUGAAUACGUUCCCGGGCCUU
rnacentral:rRNA from 1 species